UACGUAGGGUGCGAGCGUUGUCCGGAAUUAUUGGGCGUAAAGGGCUCGUAGGCGGUUUGUCGCGUCGGGAGUGAAAACUCAGGGCUUAACCCUGAGCCUGCUUCCGAUACGGGCAGACUAGAGGUAUGCAGGGGAGAACGGAAUUCCUGGUGUAGCGGUGAAAUGCGCAGAUAUUAGGAGGAACACCGGUGGCGAAGGCGGGUCUCUGGGCCGAUACUGACGCUGAGGAGCGAAAGCGUGGGGAGCGAACAGG
rnacentral:rRNA from 1 species